rnacentral:rRNA from 1 species
GACGAACGCUGGCGGCGUGCUUAACACAUGCAAGUCGAACGGAAAGGCCCUGCUUUUGUGGGGUGCUCGAGUGGCGAACGGGUGAGUAACACGUGAGUAACCUGCCCUUGACUUUGGGAUAACUUCAGGAAACUGGGGCUAAUACCGGAUAGGAGCUCCUGCUGCAUGGUGGGGGUUGGAAAGUUUCGGCGGUUGGGGAUGGACUCGCGGCUUAUCAGCUUGUUGGUGUGGUAGUGGCUUACCAAGGCUUUGACGUGUAGCCGGCCUGAGAGGGUGACCGGGGGGGCAGGGCACAGGCAAACGCCCAGACUGCUACGGGCGCUACAGGCGUAAGAUACUGUGUCAGAGAGCGAAGACGGGUGCAGUGGCGCCCCGAGCGGGAAGCUGGACUUCUGGGUGUAAGCAGAUUUCGUCCGCGAGGAAGCGCGAGUGACCGGACUGGCUAACGAAGCAACGGCUAACUACGUG